rnacentral:rRNA from 1 species
GACGUAGGGCGCGAGCGUUGUCCGGAUUUAUUGGGCGUAAGGAGCUCGUAGGCGGCUUGUCGCGUCGACCGUGAAAACUUGGGGCUCAACCCCAAGCCUGCGGUCGAUACGGGCAGGCUCGAGUUCGGUAGGGGAGACUGGAAUUCCUGGUGUAGCGGUGAAAUGCGCAGAUAUCAGGAGGAACACCGGUGGCGAAGGCGGGUCUCUGGGCCGAUACUGGCGCUGAGGAGCGAAAGCGUGGGGAGCGAACAGG